rnacentral:rRNA from 1 species
AAUAGGUUGCGAAGCCGCGAGGCGGAGCCAAUCCAGACAAAACUUCCCUCAGUUCAGAUUGCAGGCUGCAACCCGCCUGCAUGAAGUUGGAGUUGCUAGUAAACGCAGGUCAGCCAUACUGCGUUGAAUACGUUCCCGGGGCUU